GCACGAACCGCGUGGUUCCGGGAGUUAUUAUAUAAUUUCUCGGGUCUGGGGCUCUGGAACAAGAGAAGAGAAAAAUAAAUUGGUGGUACUGGUGUAGAAUGGUAGCAUGUGCAACUGUGCACGACAUUUGUAGGUGCUAAUUUAGUUGGAUGUCAGACAGCCAAAUGGCUGGCAAGCCAUGUCGUGGCAUUCUUUAUUCUAUCUCAAUAGUAGAAUAUUGAGAUCUACACUAACUUAGCUGAGUGGGUGCGGAUCGAAUUCAUAGCUCGUAAAGAUGAAAUUGUCCUGUUCGCAUUUACUUUUAAUAAAUAUAUUAUGCAACUGGUGAUGCCUUUUCCUGUAGUGAUCAAUACAAUAACGAAAAAUUACUUCACAA
rnacentral:misc_RNA from 1 species